rnacentral:rRNA from 1 species
GACGAACGCUGGCGGCGUGCCUAACACAUGCAAGUCGAACGGAAAGGCCGUGCUUUUGUGGGGUGCUGGGGUGGCGAACGGGGGAGUAACACGUGUGUAACGUGCCCUUGACUUUGGGAGAAGUUCAGGAAGGUGGGGCUAAUCCCGGAUAGGAGCUCCUGCUGCGGGGUGGGGGUGGGAAGGUUUAGGCGGUUGGGGAUGGACGAGCGGCUUAUCGGCUUGUUGGUUGGGUGGUGGCAUACCAAGGCUGUGACGGGUGGCCGACCUGCGAGGGUGACCGGCCACCUUAGGACUGAGAUACGGCCCAGACCCGAACGGUAGGCAACGGUGGCGAGUCUUACACAAUGGGAGGGAGCCUGAUGCGACAACGCCGCGUGCGGGAAGACGUCCUUCGGGUAGUGAACCGCAGCCGCUUGAGACGAAGCGUUAGUGACGGUAAUGGGAAAAUAAGCACCGGCUAACUACGUG